AAUAUUGGACAAUGUGUGCAACCCUGAUCCAGCCAUGCCGCGUGAGUUAUGAAGGCCUUAUGUUUGUAAAGCUCUUUCAGUGGGGAAAAUAAUGACGGUACCCACACACGCAGCCCCUGCUAACUUCGUGCCAUCAGCCGCGGUAAUACGAAGGGGGCUAGCGUUGUUCGGAUUUACUGGGCGUAAAGCGCACGUAGGCGGAUUGGUCAGUUAGGGGUGAAAUCCCGGAGCUCAACUCCGGAACUGCCUUUAAUACUGCCAGUCUAGAGUCCGAGAGAGGUGAGUGGAACUCCUAGUGUAGAGGUGGAAUUCGUAGAUAUUAGGAAGAACACCAGUGGCGAAGGCGGCUCACUGGCUCGGUACUGACGCUGAGGUGCGAAAGCGUGGGGAGCAAAC
rnacentral:rRNA from 1 species